UGCCACACCACCUAUGUAUUUUUAAAAAUCCUGUUACUUUUUUUUGGGUAAAAUUUGACCCCAUUUCACCCCAGUUUUUGCUGCUGUGCCUUUUUGUGCAGAUUUAAACUCGAGGGAGCAGGAGACGUGUCAGCCCGUGCACGUCAUCAACGUGGACAUCCAGGACAACCACGAGGAGGCCACGCUGGGGGCUUUCCUCAUCUGCGAGCUCUGCCAGUGUAUCCAGCACACAGAAGACAUGGAGAAUGAAAUAGAUGAGCUGUUACAGGAAUUUGAAGAGAAAAGUGGAAGGACUUUUCUUCACACUGUCUGCUUUUAUUAAAGCACCUCUGUCUCUGAGGCCUUAACCCAGAUGAGGGGAGCAUGUGUUUCCAGUUCUGAUUAUACUGUAUUUUGGAAAAGGAAUAUUGAUCUUUUUUUGUUUGUUUGUUUGUUUAAAAACUCCUUUUCAGUGUCUUUUUUUUUUGGGGUUUUUUUCAGGUAUUCUGUCACAGGUAGGCAGAGAUACUGGUUGGGCUUGUACAUAUAAAAUUAAAAGUAUACACAAAAGCCACCUAUUUAAAAAUUCAAAUCAAGUUUUUUUCUUUAAAUCCUACUUUAAUUAUUACAAGUAGGUUUUUAAUUAUAAAGAGAAUGUUUCUUGAAUAUAAGUUUAUAAUGUAUUUUUCCAGCCUUUGGAUUUAUUUGAUUUAUUAUAUUUCAGUUUUGGUUUUGUUUUUUUUUUUUUUAUUUUAUUUUAUUUCAAUGUGACAGAAUGGCUGAACUCUGUGAGGAUGUGAAUGGAACAAUGGAAAAACUGAAUAUCUGUAUAUUAUUAGCUAUAAAGUUGGAAGCAUCAAAUAAAAAAGAAAAAAACCUUUAA